rnacentral:rRNA from 1 species
UAAGGAAUAUUGGUCAAUGGACGCAAGUCUGAACCAGCCAUGCCGCGUGCAGGAUGACGGCCCUAUGGGUUGUAAACUGCUUUUGUACGGGAAGAACUGUAUUUACGAGUAAAUACUUGACGGUACCGUAAGAAUAAGGAUCGGCUAACUCCGUGCCAGCAGCCGCGGUAAUACGGAGGAUCCGAGCGUUAUCCGGAUUUAUUGGGUUUAAAGGGUGCGCAGGCGGGUAUAUAAGUAAGAGGUGAAAUUCCAGGGCUCAACCUUGGGACUGCCUUUGAUACUGUAUGUCUAGAGUAUAGUUGGAGUGGGCGGAAUGUAGCAUGUAGCGGUGGAAUGCUUAGAUAUGCGACAGAACACCGAUCGGGAAGACAGCUCACUAAGCUAUAACUGACGCUCAGGCACGAAAGCAUGGGGAGCAAACA